GACGAACGCUGGCGGCAUGCCUAAUACAUGCAAGUCGAGCGAACAGAUGAAGUGCUUGCACUUCUGACGUUAGCGGCGUACGGGUGAGUAACACGUAAGGAAUCUACCUAUAAGCGGGGGAUAACAUUCGGAAACGGGUGCUAAUACCGCAUAAUAUCUUCUUCCGCAUGGAAGAAGAUUGAAAGACGGCUCUGCUGUCACUUAUAGAUGACCUUGCGGUGCAUUAGUUAGUUGGUGGGGUAAUGGCCUACCAAGACGAUGAUGCAUAGCCGACCUGAGAGGGUGAUCGGCCACAUUGGGACUGAGACACGGCCCAAACUCCUACGGGAGGCAGCAGUAGGGAAUCUUCCGCAAUGGGCGAAAGCCUGACGGAGCAAUGCCGCGUGAGUGAAGAAGGCCUUCGGGUCGUAAAACUCUGUUAUAAGAGAAGUACAAAUUGUAGAGUAACUGCUACAGUCUUGACGGUAUCUUAUCAGAAAGCCACGGCUAACUACGUGCCAGCAGCCGCCGUAA
rnacentral:rRNA from 1 species